GCAAGCAUACAAAUAUAUCGGACAUACGUACGCAAAUCUUUAUCACUUAUGAGCACAUUUUCCUGAUAAACUGGCCAAUUUAUGCCGAGAGGAUAAUGGACGAAGGUCGACAUCUUAUAUAAUGUGCCAAUUGUGCCAUGAAAUCGCUGCUGAAUGAGCUAAAUGAUCAGUGGGUAUUGAAUGCUAUUGAAAUUCAUAUUGGAAUAAUUAAGAAAACCUGCGUAGCGAAAUCUUAUAAAGCGCGAUUGAUAGAUGCGAAAAUAACGAACAACGUAUUGUGUUUACUACUAUCAAAGGAAUUUCCUUUGGCCUCUGAGAAGAAGCUGCUGACAAAGCUUUGGAAUUAAAGCGAAACCUGUUCGCAACAUUCAAUGAUCCUUUAAUAAGCGAGAUCACGAUAGGCUGGAUAAGGGAUUAGUUGAUAGAAGAUGCCCUCGAAGAAUUCAACACUCGGCAGCAUCGCACAGUUUGAAGUCCAUCGUCGCUCGGAUAGACCCAAAUACUUUGCAGACGAGCUGCGAAAACCAGUUUUGCAAAUUCCAGUCUUUUGAUAGAUCAAUUGUUUAUGGUGAAUAGCGAAUAAAAGACGGGUACCAUCCUAAUCGGCAAAUUUAAGAGGAGAUAGUACUGCUGCGAAUGGAAUUUUACGUAGUCGAGUUGCCUCGAGAGAUCUGUAACUUUUACGUAUAUUCAAAUGCCUAAAAAUGAUGUAGACAUGUCUGACGUUAAUUGAGCUGUGAAUUUUAUUAUAAUCUAAAGAAUUCUGAUGCGUAAUGUUAUUGGCAUGAUUUAUACAGACUCAAUCAAUAUAAACGUGUACAAUAUUUAAAAUUAAAGAAAGCUAUCAUUGGUUCAUUUAAAAUA